rnacentral:siRNA from 1 species
AGAGGUGACCAUUGGAGCACAAUA